GAAUCUUGCCCAAUGGACGAAAGUCUGAGGCAGCGACGCCGCGUGGGGGAAGAAGGCCUUCGGGUUGUAAACCUCUUUCAGCAGGGACGAAGCCACUCGGGUUAAUAGCCCAGAGGGGGACGGUACCUGCAGAAGAAGCCCCGGCUAACUACGUGCCAGCCGCCGAGGUAAUACGUAGGGGGCAAGCGUUGUACGGAUUUAUUGGGCGUAAAGAGCGUGUAGGCGGCCGCACAGGUCCGUUGUGAAAACUGGAGGCUUAACCUUCAGACGUCGAUGGAAACCGUGCGGCUAGAGUCCGGAAGAGGAGAGUGGAAUUCCUGGUGUAGCGGUGAAAUGCGCAGAUAUCAGGAAGAACACCCGUGGCUAAGGCGGCUCUCUAGUACGGUACUGACGCUGAGACGCGAAAGCGUGGGGAGCGAACAGG
rnacentral:rRNA from 1 species